CAGUUGUCUGAACUCGCUGAAACAUUGUACAGUGUAUCUUUUACCCUCCUGGAAUUGAUUACAAUAGUUCAAAUCAAUUUUGGAUGCUUUUCAAUAGGAAUAAGAAGAGUAAAAAGAAUAAGACUUUAAAAGGGGGAGCUGCUGAGCUGCCUGUUGCUGUCUGUGUACUAAAAACCUGUGGACUGAGUCUGGGUGAGCGGACCUUGAAACUGUGGAAUAGUUAUGGCUAAUGGUGUAGGUAAGCCUGAGAAAAGCAAGCCUAAAGACAGAAGAGGCUCUAAAGCACUAACUUUUGAAGAGUCGGUGAUGUAAAUGUUGACUGAAAUAAAACAGAUGGAAGAGGAACCCAACAGGGCGUACAGGAGCUUAAACAAGAAUUUGUAGAUUUGAAAAAAAUUCAAGAAGUCAAGGCAGAAGUUACAGGUCACAAGACAAAAUUGUCGGAAUUGGAAAGUCCCUGAGAGUCCCUGAUGUGGAGAGGACCCAACAGGAAGCGCUCAAUGCAAUUGCUUUUUUGGCUGGAAGAAUCUGGGACCAGAAAGAGGAGGAGACACAAGAAGGUUGGAAGAAAUUUAAAGAAUAUUUAGCUAAAUAUUGUUAUAUAUGAUAAUGAGAAGUCACUUGGAAGUAACAAAUAGGCUUAGGACUAAAAUAUGAACGUGUUGUAAAAUAUGAAGGAUUAGAAUACUAAUAAAAGAGACAAGGAUAGUAAAUAGGAGAUAAUUUUAUUAGAAAUAUGAUUUUGGAGAACUGUUACAAGGUGAUACAAUGAAAUUCAGUUAGGGGGGACUGGAUGAAGUCAGUUAACAAUGUAAGGUAAAUUGGGUUUUGAAAGUAAUAAUUGUUUCUAUGUUUUUCUUUUGUAUUCUAAUGUGUUUUCUUUUGUUGUGUGUUGUGUUGCGUAAUGUCAUUUCUUCUUAGAAAUUUGGAAAAGCAAUAAUUUUUUUUUGAAAAAAAUAUAUUUGAGGAGGCCACCCCCCAGGUUGUUUUUUUUAAAAAUGCAACCUUUUGUUCUUCCACAACUUGCCAUACAAUUUCUCUUUCAAUUUGCCCUCUUAAAAAAUUAAAAAAUAAACGCACAAAGGUCAUUAGAAAAACAAAAUACAAGAAAAUACAAACGUGGACAGGUCCCAUCUUUGCGGGACAAACGCAAAAGUUGCUUUAAAUCAGGGUUUCCCAAACUUGGGUCCCCAAGAGCUCCCAGACUACAGUUUCCAUCAUCCCUCCCCAUUGGUCCUGCUAGCUAGGGAUGAUGGGAGUUGUAGUCCAAAAACAGCUAGAGACCCGAGUUUGCUUUAAAGGGAAAGUAGGCCAGCCCUGUGACACCCUCUGUUGGCUAAUUGGAAUUAAUACAGCACAAAACUGAAGUUUGAUCAGCACUUCAACCUCUAGGGAGCUUCUAGGUGUUUUCUGCGCCACCUAGAGUACCCACAGAAUUGUGGCUUCUACUGGCAACACACACAGGAGAACAAAUGAAAGACAAACACAAGGGGCAGGAAAAAACCUGGAAAGGGCCAUACCAAAUGGACACAGGUAGAGGAGAUGAAAUGCCAGAAGUGUUCUCCGGGGCAAGGGGAGCUGCUGGGAAAUUGAGCUACGGGCUCAAAAUAUUACUUUUUUAAAAAGUCGCUGCCAUUAUAGGCAUUGCCAUUCAAAUGGUGUGCAUGCAUCAUGUGAUUGAUAGUGCAAGGCCCCCCAUCAAUAUUUUAUUCAGUUAAGUAGCACUGGGUCGGGUGGUUUCCCAAUUUAAAAAAUACAUAAAUCUCCUUCCUUUGCACAUAUUCCAGCUUGUCAAUAUCCUCAUUUAUUCUUUUUAAAAUUUAUUUGCACUUCUUCUGAAAAUUUUACAAUAUAAACAUACAGGAUGAAAGCAUGGCUUUCUCACAAACAAAUCAAGCCAGAGAAAUCUCUCCAUUUUUAUUUUUUUAUUUUUUUGGAUGGAGUUAGAAACUUUGAUCAGGGAACUGCUUUGGAAGUAGUGCAUCUUGAUUUCAGUAAGGCUUUUGACAGAGUCCUCUGUGAGAUUUAUGUGAGGAAGCUAGUAAAAUGAGGCUGAAUGAGGUAACUGUUAUGUGGAUUUGACUGACCGAACCCAAAGAGGACUCCUUCAUGGGUCCUCCUCAUCCUGGGGAAAAGUGACAAGAAGGGUGCUGCAGGGUCUUGAUAAAUGACAUGGAUGAAGGAAAUGAGGGGAUUCUCAUCACAUUUGCACACGACACCAAACGGAUCAUAAUGGCAUCCUCUCUCUUCUUCAGCAACAGACAGGGAGACAAAGAACAGUGCAAAAGCACAGCAGAGCGAAAGAGAUAAGACUGACUUCCGUUCUUACACUUUCCAAGCCUAGGAAAGUAAACAGGGGCAUGUGACAUACUAGCCACAUAUCCAGCAACGGGAGGAGUGAAUUGCUAGCACACCACACAUGAUUGCAGGUGAUAUAAGGAAAAAAACCUGCUCCUUUUUCCUUAUGGGGUACCCAAGAGCCCAUAUACAGCCCUUUUGUAGGUUCUCUAUCGGUAGGAGAAAAUUACAGAGACCAACCAGAGAAUAUUGAGAAGCAAAGCAGCUAUUAAGCCUGUUCUUUAUUAACUUAUUAACACGCAGGAGAGAGGAGGACCCCGAGCCAUGCAUGAAAGCCCUUAUAUAGACAUUUUUAAUUGCCCGCCCUGGAGUCCAAGACCACCCCCAGAUACAUCAUACAUACAUCAAAGAAGGGGUGUAGCCCAAGACUACCCCCCAGAUGCAUCAUACCUACGUCACAGAAAAAGCGGUCUACAACAGAAAUCUGAGUGCGUUGUUUUUACCUUGUCUGCCAGGUUACCUGUAAAUGGUCACUUGACUGGAUUACCUGGGGAGCCUGGCCAUUCUUUUGUAAUGAUAAUACUUCAUUCCUGAGCCAGGUCACAGGCUCACCCUAUUCACACCUUAAAUGUGCCCUUAAGGCAGGAUUUGUGAGGACAGAGACAACGGGGAGGUUUCUGCAUUUCCUUCGACCUUGUAGAGAAAUAUUUGAGGUGAGUGAAAGAGUCAAAAUGGCUUAAGGGCUUUUCCUGUGGGUUUUGGACAUGUGGUUUAUAUAAUUAUAUCUGUAUUUGCUUGGUAUAUUGAGGAACAUUUAUAUAAUAUAUCCUAAAAAAAUAUUUUAACCAUUUCCCCCUUUAGGGCUAUAAAUUUUUCUAAAAAAUUGUUGCCCCACAAAUAAUAACCUGGUUUGUUGUAAAUGGAUGCCUUCGUGUAAAUCUUAAGAGACUUGCAUGUCAGGCCUCUUGAGAGGUGGUGUAGUGGUUAAGAGCGGUAGUCUCGUAAUCUGGGGAACCGGGUUCGCUUCCCUGGUCCUCCACCUGCAGCUGCUGGGUGACCUUGGGCUAGUCACACUUCUCUGAAGUCUCUCAGCCCCACUCACCUCACAGGGUGUUUGUUGUGGGGGAGGAAGGGAAAGGAGAAUAUUAGCUGCUUUGAGACUUCUUCGGGUUGUGAUAAAGCAGGAUAUCAAAUCCAAACUCCUUUUCUUCUUCUUCUUCUUCUUCUUCUUCUUCUUCUUCUUCUCCUCCGCCUCCUCCUCCUCCUCCUCCUCCUCCUCCUCCUCCUCUUAAGGCUAUUUGCAUGUGUAGCAGUGCACAUAGCUGGACAUAGGAUAUCACAUAAAAAAAUAAUACAGCUGAAGUGUAAGGUUCAUAAAUAUGUAAGAAAAGACAGGUAUAUGCUCCUUUUUGUGUGUCUGUAUAUAUGUGAUUGAAACUUCAAUCUAUUUUACAAGAUGUACUAUAUAUAUAGAAUGUAUUGUAAGAAUAUUAAUAAAGCUGGGGGGGGGGAGGAAAGCGUGAGGCAAGGGGGAGGUGGUGCCAGAAUUUGGCAUCGUACAGGGCAGCACCACCAUUUGAGAUGCCACGAUCCGCCAUUGCUCUGACCUCUGGGGUGUGUCCUUUUCUUACCCAGCACCCCAAUCUCUGUGCAACAAGAAACUCCAGGGGUGCUUCUCCUUACCCGGGGUUUAGUUUUCUGGGAAUGAAGGUUAGCAGAGACUGUGGAGUCUUCAGGAUACCUGGUUUUAUUUGCACAUAUAUACAACCUGAGCACAGGAUGGAGGGGCUCUUAGCACCCCCCCCCCUUACAGAUCUUGCUUCUGCAUUAGGUUUCCCAUAAAGCCCCAAGUCCAGCUUUGGAGUCUGGCACAGAGCAGGAAAGAAUUUCAAGAGGGACAAAUCUAAGGUCCUGCACACGGAGAUCAGAUUCUAUCCAAUUCAGAUUUCUUUGUGGGGCAGGUAUAGGACCAUGAACACUCAUCCCAAUUUCUUAAAAGUCUUCCCACCACACUUUUCAAUGCAUUUACCCUUCAUUUUCCAAACUGCAAAAAGGCUAGAUUAUUAUUAUUUUUUAAGUGGAUUUCACAGUUGGGGAUGUUUAGCCUGGAGAAGGGGAGACGGAGACAUGACUUGAGAGCCGUCUUCAAAUACCCAAAGGGCUCCCACAUGGAAGAUGCAAGAAGCUUGCACCUGCUCCUGCUCUGGAGACAAGGACCCAAAUGACUUGUGAGAAAGGAGAUUCCAACUAAAGAACUGUCAUGCAUCCAUAAUGCUAUGGAAAGGGUGAAUGUCUUCUAGAAUUCUCUUGUGUCACCAGAAGAGGAAGCUGUUCUUUUCAGUUAGGUCUGUUCUCAACUGCAGAGGAUGAGUAGCCUUGGGAGUCUCUUGGGGAGAUGGAAGUGUUCAAAGGACUGAAUCUACUUGCUCUGAGAUGGGGGAACUUCGGGCAAAGGCCAGCAGAGAAGGGAUGCUGUUGGCCACUAGUUUCUGUUCCUCCCCACUUUCCCAAAGGGCGUAACAUCAGAGGUCCUGUGGAUAGAAAGAGCAUCUCAAAGUCAGGGGCCAGCCUGGGCCAAAGUGGCCCUCCGCUGCCUCCACCACAGAGUCCCUGGCAUCCCUUUACCAUCUCUGAUGCCAUCAGGACACUUACGUUAAGCAGGAGAAGGAGGUGCGGAGCAUUGGGGGUCUCUGUCAGAGCAGAUGAUGGAAGUGCCACUUCACUUCCAUGUUCAAGCCAGUAGGUCCCCGAAGGGCAAGGAAGGAAAAGAGAGAAGAGAUUUUGAGUCCUGAGUGCAGUUGUGGAAGUGUGUGAAGAGGAAGAAGAAAGAGCCAUGUCAAGAGAAGUCAAGACCAAUGACAAACCUUCCUGUUCACCUCCUGUUCUUCCUUCAGGAGUGUCUCAAACCUCCUGCGGACUAUUGCACUGCAGAGGUCGGAGAAGUUUGGAUUAUGGGCGCUCGUAAAAACGCCCCAGGCGCGCCAGGAUGUCCUGGAAGAGAGCAGAGGAGGAAAGUCAGGUCCUUCCAGGGGCAUCAGGAGGGCACCUCUGCCAUCCCCUGACAGCUCCCUCCUGGGGUCAUUCACACAACCAGAAUGGACUCUGCAGUGCGAUUCUUGGGCAGCUGGAUGGUCCAAAGGCCCCUCAGUGCUGCUGCCUCAAAGGAAAAGUAAAGAGGACUAAGGACAGACCUCCCUGUCCUCUCAUUCUUUCCCUCUAGUUGGCCUGGAAAGUUGUGUGGAGAAUUGAGAUGCCCAUCUCUGAAGUGGAGGACCCCCCAGCAGGCUUUGGAAAUGCCCCUUCAGUUCCUGCGGGAAAAGAGAAGAGAGGUUGAGUGCUGGGUUAAAUCUUGCAAGGGUGUGAGAAGAAGAAAGAGCUGAGCAAAGGGAAGUCAAGACAUACUUCUCUGUCCUCCACCUUCUCAGCCCCUUUCAGCACUGCCUCAAACAUCCUGUGCAGGAUAGCACUGGGCACAUCGCUGCUGAACUUUGGCCUCAUGAUGCUGCAGAGAUGAAGGGGAGAGGGUUAGAUGCUGCCUCCUCUGAGUCUCCCUUGCCCCCUUCUCCCUCCUGCCUGCUCUUCCCCACCCAGAGCUCCCCCUGGAAUUCUGUCCACCACCCACCCCCACAACCCCGUCCAUCCCAAAGAACCCCCUCACCUCAGCUGGAGGAGGGCCAGGGCCAGGCUCAGGGAUUGAUCCCUGAAGCGCUCCAAGUGCCCCAAGAUGUCCUGCAAGAGAGCAGAGGAGGAAAGCCAGCUCUUUCGGGGGGAGGCAGCCAGAGAACUGCACCCUGAGAUGCCCCCUAGCCCUCCGGUCUCCAAACUUGCUCACCUAUCACCACGGGCUCCUCCCGGACUUGCAGCGGGGCCACCCUGUUCCUCUGCUGGCAGCUGAACAGGGCCCUGAACCACCUGAACCUAGAAGAGAGGAGUGGGGGGGGGAGAGAGUGACCCAGGAGCCCCAAUGGGUGGGGGGUGUUUGUGUCUGUGCGGGGGGCCGAGAGAGGAAGGUGGUGGAGUCUUCCUUGGAACCAGAGAGACCCCCAUGAAGGGGGAGAAGGCCGAUGGCGUUGGGCAGCUGGAAAGAUGCAAGAUGGAGCCAGGGAGAGGUGCAGUGGUUGGAGGGCUGGACUAGGAGGACUGGGAAGAGCAGAGUUCGAAUCCCCACUGAGCCAUGAAGCUCCCUGGUGGACCUUGGGCCAGCCAGGCCUACUUUGCAGGGCUGCUGGGAAGAUAAAAAUUGGUGGCAGGGAGAACCAUGAAGGCCACUUUGAGCUCCUGGGAGGAAAGUGGGCUAGGAAUGUCCUAAUAAAAGCGGAUGAUGAGAGGGGAGAGAAAAGGGGAAGGCAGAGAAUGAGUUUGGAGGAGCUGAGCUCUCUAGAGAAGACUGGCCGGGUCAAUUUCCAGAGAGCCAAGACUGUGCAAGAGACCCCAGGACUCACCCCCCCCCAGAGACCAAGACCAAGGGAAAGAAUCCUACUUACUGUUAGGAUAUAGUUCCGUUCCACCUUAAAUGGUCAGACAUGAUUAUUGUGUGUCACAUGCCUGUUUACUCCCAGCACUGUUCUCUCUGGGAACUUCCGUUUUGUAUAUAGUUUUUGGUUUGGCUGUUUUCCUGGACACGGAUGCAAGCAGUCAUGUUUUUCCUUUCUUCUGAUCUACGUUGAAUAAAGCUGUAAAUAUGCUCUCCUAUCUGAAUCUUCCGUUGUGGAGACUGCUGAAAAGGGUGUGCACGAGUCUUGGAAUGUCUCUGAAGCUCGUGUCGCUAAUUGACUGAUGCUGUUCAACGAGAGACUGGGAGAUCAUCCGGAGGCGACGUGGAGGCCUGCUUGAUGCCUUCGUCUCCCUGGCAGUAUCCCAACACUUACAGCCUGUCCAUUUUGUCCAGGAAGAAAUCCCACCUUCCUCUCUAAACUAGCUGUCUAAAAUGCCCAUCCAAGCCUAACUUCUGACCCCAACCGCAGCCCUAAGCCUAAGCCUAACCUUAACUACCCCUCUAUGUACAAAAUAAAUAUAUGCAAAUAUAUACAAAAUGUGCACAAAAUAAAAUAAAAAAUAUUAAAAUAAAGAACAAUAAGAUAAAAGUGUUAAAACAAAAAACUAAAAUAAUAAAUCAAAUAAAAGUAUUAAAUGAAAUGGGAAGCAAAAUAAGAAACUGGAAAAAGAACAAUAAACCGAACUCCUUCCCCAAUCUCCGCCAACCGCCACCAACUCCUCUCUCCUCCACUCGCCUCACGCCUAACCCACAAAGGCCUCCUGCAAGUCGGUGGCUUUUUAGGGAGAAGCAACAGAGGUCACAAAGGAGGGCCGGUCCUUGUCAUCGUGGCGACCCCCCCACCUGGCCCCUCCCGAGAGGUGAUGCUCCUUCUUCAGAACUCGGAGGCCCCUGCUGUUCCGCCUGCAGCUGGGCUCCAUCUUCCUCUCACAUCCUUCUUCCUGCAGCCCCAUUUCCAAAGGGAGGCCAGCCCCACAUCCUCCCAGGCAGGCCAGGGGUCUCCAUAGCGCAGGAUUGGACCAUGUGCUUUGCAUGCAGGUCUUCCGUCCUGGGCGGCAUCUCCGGGGGGGGGGCUGGGAAUGUCUGCCCCCCCCCGUCCAAAACCCUGGAGAGCUGCUGCCAGUCAGUGCAGGUGCUGCUGAGGUUGCUGGGUCACAGGACUGGCUCUGUCCAAGGCAGCUUCCUAGGAAUAUUCCUCUUAUGUUAUAGAGCUGAAGAGGAGCAAGCUAAAUAACUUCUGCACCAGACCGACCAUCGAUUCCUUUAAGAGACAAUCUGGAAAAGUCCCUGUUUUUAUACAACAAGGUGACCAGAAUUAUUAUUAUUUGUAGUAUAUUUGUUGAUAUUUUCUCAACUAGAAAAAAGAUACACCUUAAAAUUCAGUAGGCUGAAACUCUUAACCCGUAAAAUGUUUAAAAUGAUUGUCUGAGUAAAAAUUAGCAUGCAAUCCUAAGGCCCCUAGGACAAAUCAGAUCAACUCCUCCUCUGCUGGAGACAAGAGAUUUGGUGUCAGAAGCAACCUCCCAACUUCUGGCUCCUCCGAUGCCCUGGCCAAAGAUGGGGGGGGGGGGGGGGAGAUAUGAAAGUGGUUGUAUUACUCUGGAGCGUGAGUGGCUAUCUCCAGUUUGGGGGGGGGUGUCGGGGGGGUGGACCUUCAAAUGCGCUCCAUUUUGGCUGGCCCUGCUGAUGUCGGAUCUCCGAUGAAGAGAGGAUCGAGGCAUGGGAGGAGCCAGAAGUUGGGAGGUGGUUUCUGACAUCUCUUGUCUCCAGUAUAGGAGGAGUUGAUCUGAUUUCUCCUAGGGGCCCUUUGGAUUGCAGGCCAAGGGCCUUAAUUUUUAACUCAAACAAUCAUUCUAAACAUAUUACAUGUUGAUAUCCUGCCUUUCUCCUUAAGAGAAAGACUCAAGGCAGCUUACACUUAAGACUGAAACAGCUAACCCCAUGGAAAAAGUGUAAUAAUUUAAGAAACCAUUACAUAUUAAUGUAAUUCAUAGAUAUAUCUGGUAUCUUGGAAGCAUACAGUACAUUCCCAUAGAGGCAGCAUGCCACCAGCGCUUUCAUGCAAAGCUGUCACUUCCCAAAGCCUCUUGGGACAAGGAAGUCUUGACCUGCCGGCCAAAAGACCCCAAGGUGGGAGCCAAGCUCAUUUCUCCAGAAAGGGAAGUUCCAACAAAUGCCGCUUGUUCACGUUAAACUGCAAUUGUUGUUCAUAAAGCAACUAUUCAAGACUGUAUGCAAAGUGGGCCUGCGUCAUCUUCAUGCCUGUUUCAUCUGAAUUUUGGGGAAGACAAAUUGCUACACGGAGAGAUUUAAUAAUGCAGAAAAAGUAGGAUAGAAUCUUUUAGAUUUCCCCUCUACAUUUGUGUAAUUAUUUUUAUGUACUUUAUACUAGUGUUUUAAGUGAAGCAACAAACGAGAAAGAAAAAUAGUAUCUUUUCAGACUGAUUGAUUGCAGUGGUUUGGCUUUCUGCCAAGUUGGCCCUGGGGAAGAUGGGAGAGGAGCUCAACCCCUCAGGAUUCGCAGGGAGUUCUGCUGACCUUUCGGGGGCUCAGGGCACAGAAAUGGCUCCUCUUUCUUUAAGGGCCCCACAGACCUCAUGGGACACCGGAACGGAUUCCCUUGUUGCUUCUUUGAGUCAAUGGAGGUUGCAGGAGGGCUGUUGAUAAAACACACCCUUCACACUUGGUUACGUCUUAGGAGCACAGGCACAAAUGAUUGUGUGUGUGUGUUUGUAGUUGGACACUCCGCCUGUCUCUGAGCAGUGAGAGACUCCUGGGGUUCCAGGUCCAUCUUUGAUUUCCUUGAAACAAAUGUCGGCAGAGACUGGGGUAUCUUUAGGAUCAAUUGUGUUAAGGAAAAUUCCGGGUUGAGAGGUCGGGGCACCAGUCGCCCGCAGGUCCAUGCAGUCAGUAAAAGAAGGAAAUUCCAGCCAAGCAAUUUGGAGCAAAACAGCAGUCAAUAGACUUAGAUCCUUUAUUUUUUAUUAUUAUUAAUUUUUUUUGAAGUUUUUAAGUCUACAAAAUAACAGAAGGAAAGGUUUACACAUAUGUACAUGUUAGUAACACAAAGCAUCACACCACCCUCACACACACCCUACCAUUGGUUCAACAUUACUCGAAAUGUGAGUUAAAAUCUGACUUCCAUCGUUGCUUGACCUUAAUUCUAUAACUUAUCAAAAAUCAAACAUCAAAAAUCAAUACAAAUCAGUUCACCCCCCCAAAAAAAGCAGACUCAGAGUCAGCUAACUUUAAAAAAUAAUAAUGAAAGAGUAUCACAGAUUCCGUGUAUGUAAAUUCCUUUUGCACAGCAGCGUCCACAUUUAGAACUCUGCAAUUCUAUGGUUAUUAUUAUCCUGAAGGCAAAGGUGGCCCCAGCAGGGUGUGUCUGUAUGUCUUUACUCUUUGCCGAAGCCUCUUGCAGUUCUCAGCCCUGCCCACUUGAUGUCGCAAAAAAACCAGCAUUCGCUAGCAAGCGUUGGAGUGAAGCCUUCUAAGGCUCUGCGGUCACCACAAUAAAACAAUAAGAGCCAUGACUUAAAACUGCCACUGCUUUCCCUGAAGAGGAACUCACAUAGUCUGCAAGACCGUUCCCCUCAAGCCCUGCCUCCUUGACAUCCGAUGCAACAUCAGGUGUGGGUCAGGUGAGGUCACGACUUUCUGCAAAAACUCAGGAGGCAGCGAUGGGCAUCAAUGGAUUGCUGUGGGUUUGGGAGGGUCAGUAUGGAUGGGGCCUGGGAGCCUCUCCGCUUUAUGCUUCAGUUGUAUAUUUCUUGUUGUUGUUGUUUAGUCAUUUAGUCGUGUCUGACUCUUCGUGACCCCAUGGACCAGAGCACUCCAGGCACUCCUGUCUUCCACCGCCUCCCACAGUUUGGUCAAACUCAUGCUGGUCGCUUCGAGAACACUGUCCAACCAUCUGGUCCUCUGUCGUCCCCUUCUCCUUGUGCCCUCCAUCUUUCCCAACAUCAGGGUCUUUUCCAGGGAGUCUUCUCUUCUCAUGAGGUGGCCAAAGCCUUGGAGCCUCAGCUUCAGGAUCUGUCCUUCCAGUGAGCACUCAGGGCUGUAUAUAUGUGUAAAUAUGUGUGUGUGUGUGUGUGUGUGUGUGUGUGUGUGUGUGUGUAAAUAAAUCCAUAUAACCUAAAGACAUCAUAGUCUUUGCUGACCUUCCUUCUGAGAAAACACAACCUGGAAUCUCCCACAGCUCAGAGUAUUGUAUGUUUGACAAAGUCCCCUGUAAUAUUCUUGUGGAGAAGCAGGUAAAAUGUGGGCUGGACAAGGUAACUGCUAGGUGGAUUUGUAGCUGGUAAACUGACUGAACCCAAAGAGUGCCACUAAUGGUUCCUUAUCACCCUGGAAAAAGUGACAAGUGGGGUGCCACAGGUUUCUGACCUGGGUGUAUUAUUGUUCAAAAUCUUUAUAAAUGACUUGGAUGAAGAAACUGGGAGGGAUGCUCAUCAAAUUUGCAGAUGACACAAAAUUGGGAGAGGUAGCUAAUGCUCCAGAGGACAGAAUCAAGAUGACCUUAACAGAUUGGAGAACAGGGCCAAAAUGAACAAAAUGAAUUUCAACAGGGACAAAUGUAAGGUUCUGCACUUAGGUAGUGCAGAAAAGAGCCUGGAAAAGAGGAGACUGAGAGGAGAUUUGAAGGGCCGUUGCAUGGAAGAGGGAGCAUGCUGUUUGUUUUCUCCUGCUCUGGAGGUUGGGACCCAAAACAAUGGCUUCAAGUCACAAGAAAGGAGAUUUCAACUCAACAUCAGGAAGUACUUUCUGACAGCAAGGGUUGUUUGGCAGUGGAACAAACUCCCCUGGGAGGUUGUCAAUGCUCCUUCCUUGGAGGUUUUUAAGUAGAGGUUGGAUGGCCGUCUGUCCUGGAUGAGAUCCUUGCAUUUCAGGUGGUUGGACUAGGUGUCCUUUGGAGUCCCUUCCAAACCUAUGAUUCUAUGAGUGCAUGUUAGUAUGUGUAGCUUGGUAUUGUGUAUACCAGCAAUGACCCUCCCGGUUGUCAAAUGCCUGAUCCGGUGCUCAGCGACAUUCGGGAUCUGGCUUCCAUAAUCUCCCUCCCAGACUGUGGCGUAUCACAGUGGCCAAGAGGCAGGUUUUUAGAGUUCUGUGUGAUCCUACUGUCCUCUGCCUCCUUGUCACGUGGGCGCUUUGCGAAUGCUUGCAGCCCCGCUUUAGUUAAUGAACUAAUCCCUGCGUCUGUUCCGUUCACAGUGACGGAGGGGAAUGCGUUUGGGCAGAUGAGCUGCUGUUAGGAACACCCCAGAGGGAUGCUGUCUAGAGAGCCUGCAUUCAGAUCACCUGCUUUCUGCAUGAGGUGGUGCCCUUUGCCUUGGGGUAAGCCUCCUUGUCAGAGGGAUGGAGUUGACACGAUGGGCCCACGGCUCCCAACUGAUUCCAGCUGCCCAAGAGGCAAGCAUCCCGUCCAUCCUCUCUGAGACCUGACAAUCCCCUCCGAUGCUCAUCAGCUUGUUAAAUAACAAUUCGGCCAACCAAUGGGAUAGAGGCCGUGAUGAUGACAGCAUUUUGGCCGGACUGAGAUGCGGGGGGGGGGGGGGGGCAGAGCAGGGUUAUCUAACAAGCCUCAGCUCUCGUUAACCAUUUCCUUAAUGUGACAUCUGGUUCAUUUAGGGGGGGAAAAUUGCAGCUGCAGAAUGCAGGUCUAUUCUCGUCGGUCCUUUUCACAAUGUCAUUUUGUAGACUUCCGUGUUCCUUAAUAAUAAUAAUAAUAAUAAUAAUAAUAAUAAUUUAUUUAUACCCCACCCAUCUGGCUGGGUUUCCCCAGCCACUCUGGGUGGCUUCCAACAGAAUAUUAAAAUACAAUAGUCUAUUAAACAUUAAAAGCUUCUCUAUACAGGGCUGCCUUCAGGUGUCUUCUCAAAGUCUGGUAGUUGUUUUUCUCUUUGACAUCUGAUGGGAGGGCAUUCCACAGGGCGGGUGCCAUUACCGAGAAGGCCCUCUACCUGGUUCCCUGUAACUUGGCUUCUUGCAGGGAGGGAACCGUUAGAAGGCCCUCGGAGCUGGACCUCAGUGUCUGGGCUGAAUGAUGGGGGUGGAGAUGCUCCUUCAGUUAUACUGGACUGAGGCCAGUACUGGGCUGGCACCCACCUGUAAGUCUCGAGCCAUUUUGGGGUGGGCAUCAGUGUCAAACGUGCCCACGGUCUCCCUUUGCCCGCCCUGCCGUGCCUUAGCUUUUGAACUGGACUCAUGCCAGCAGCAGCAGCAAUUAACGCUUCACAUGCUGAGAAAAGGCAUUUUCAAUUAGAUUUUUACUAGUACCCCAAGAUGUAUCAAAUGGAGUCCUGAUGCAACCCCCCCCCAAAAAAAAACCCCAUACACUUAGAAUGCAAGAAUUCAGAAUUUCAUAGAAUCUUAGAGUUGGAAGGGACCCCUAAGGGUCAUCUAGUCUGACCCUCUGCAAUGUGGGAAUCUCAGCUAAAGCAUCCAUGACAGAUAGCCACCCAAUCUCUGCUUAAGAACUUCCAAGGAAGGAGGUUUUGUUCUGGAUGCCAAAACUGAACAGAGCUCACAGGCCGCCCACCCCAAAACCUCCACUCCUGGUUACCCCUUGCUCUCAGCUUUGCUCUCAGCUUUCCCCCAGAGAAUCCUGGGAAAUGUAAUGUGUUAAGGGUGCCAGGAAACUACAGCUCCCAGGAUUCUUUCCUGGGGAGCGGUAUGGAACGUGCUGUACAUUUACAGUAGGAAUGCAAUCAUUUUAGCAAUGCAAUUCAGGGUGGGGAUGUGUGUUAUUUUUUGUGCCACCGUGCUUAAAAAAAAUUGGGAGGCAUAAAUUUUUGUCAAUCUAAUUCAAGUCAUCUAGAGAUCUGCCAGUAGAGUCCUGUGUACCUCCUGCCCACCGCUGGCAUCAGGAAUGUUCUCCCCUCUUAAAUAUAGGCUGUAUUCCUGCCUCCCCAAGGGUUGGGGCUGAGCCAGCGGCCAGGGAGAGAAGGGGCUAAACUUCUGCCUUCUGUCUGAAGAAGAGCUGCGGAAGGGACAUGGAAGGGACUUAAGGGCCUCGGAUAUAAGGUUACCAGGUUAAUGCGCUAGAUCAAUGGGAUAAAAAGGACUGACAAAACCCGGGACCAGGAGGAAGGGAUGCUGGAUGAAGAUUGGAUUGUUUCUAUUUCUUUUUUUUAUUACUAGGAUUGUUUUAUAAAAUUGAUGACUGUUAGAAAAAUGUUGGAACGAAAUUACUUGGCUCUAGCAAAAAUGUUUAAAGAAUUAGGCAAGAAUAUUAUGGUCAUGAGAAGUGGGUAAAAAUAAGAUUUAAGUUUUAAGGUUUUUUAUAAGAUAAGAUGAAAAUAGAUCAAGGUAAUGUAAUGACAGAAUAUUAUGAAAUAUGGAAAGGAUUUGCUGCGAUAAUUAAUAACUGGGAUACAAAAAAAGGGAGGAGGAGGAGGUCAAAGAAAGAAGGUAAUGAAAGUUGAAGAUUUGAGAAUGUUGGUUUUAUUUUUGUAUGUUUGUGGUGUAUAUUUGUUUUUUGAAUUUGUAUUGUUGGAUGGGGUUUGCUUUCUUUUUCUCUUUUCUGUUUUUUCUUUUUUCUUUUUCUGCUUUGUCUUUUUCUGUAAUUUAAAAAAUCUUCAAUAAAUAUCAUUAAAAAAAAAAAUAAACUUCUGCCUUCUGUCAUCCGAAUCAUCCAGGCAGGCAUUCCCCCACCCCACCCUAAAUGGCGAAUGACAGACUUUUCUGGAAAUUCCCACGGAGGUAAGGUUAGCUGGGUGAUAAAAAUGGCGAUUAUCUUUUGCCCAAAAUGCUUUGCUGCUUUUUCUACCAGUCAGUUUCAGUGCAGCUGGAGGGGUUCGGGCGCAGAUUUAGAUUUGUGCAGUUAAAGUGUGUCAAAGCGCGCCACUUUUAUUUAUUUAUUUUAUAAAAAGUGCUCCACCCCCACCCCCCGGUUUGGAAAACUAAUUGAAGUGGGAAGCAGAUAGCUCAAUCGGGAGAGCAUGAGACACAUAUUCACCCAGUGCUUUUCCAGCUGCACUGGCUCCCGGUGGAGUACAGGGUCAGAUUUAAGGUGCUGGUUUUGACCUUUAAAGCCCUAUAUGGCCUAGGACCCAUGUACCUACGGGACCGCCUCUCCCGGUCUGCCCCACAGAGAGCCUCAAGGUCCAUAAAUAACAACACUCUAGAGGUCCCGGGCCCUAAGAAAGUUAGAUUGGCUUCAACCAGAGCCAGGGCCUUUUCAACACUGGCUCCGGCCUGGUGGAACGCUCUGCCUCAUGAGACCAGAGCCCUGCAGGAUCUGAUUUCUUUCCAUAGGGCCUGUAAGACAGAGUUGUUCUGCCUGGCCUUUGGCUUGGAAUCAACUUGAUUCCCUCCCCCUCUUUCUUUUUUCCUUUCUCCUCCUGUGAUGAGGCUGCAUUUUAAUGUUUUAAUGUUGUAUUUUAAUCUUGUUUUUUAAGUUGUAUUUCAAUCAACUUGUUUUUUAUUAUUGGUUGUUAGCCGCCCUGAGCCCGGUCUUGGCUGGGGAGGGCUGGGUAUAAAUAAAAUUUAUUAUUAUUAUUAGGGUCAAGGGUUCGAGUCCCAUGUUGGGCAAAAGAUUCCUGCAUGGCAGGGGUAGGGUUAGAUUGCCCUCGUGGUCCCUUGAAUGGUUCAAUGGUUCUAUGGCAUGUAAACUGCAAGCCAGUCAGGAUGGAUGGAUGCUCACUGUCCUAUGAUCUAUAGCUGAGUGAGAAAUUUGAUUCUGUUGGCAUUUUAAUCCAGCUCUCCAUCAGGGGAGCCAGAAGGUAGCUCCUCCUGCAAGUCAGCUAUGCAGAUCCAGGUGUGUGUAUGUGUGUGUGUGUGUGUUAGUAUUAGGUGCAGGCAGAGGGGCUCCCUGCCCCACCAUUGCCUCCUCGGCCCCACCUGCCCCACCUCUCUGGGGUCAAACAGCCUGCUUUUGGAAAGCCCUACAUUAAUAUAAUAAAAUGACCUAUUGGCUGGGGAUGUUUAAUCUCCCCAUGAAAAUAUUGGCAGAUGUUCUUUUUGUAGAUUAACAGGAUCCUCGGCACACGCUUUUCAGAUGAACCCAAAGCACAGACGCAGAAGGAGGGCUGGCUGGGGUUUGCUGGUGGCUUCAUUUAUGGCCAAGCCAUCCAGGCUGUGAAGAGUGGAAACUACCAUUCACAACACAACACUUGGGCAACUCAAUAGCUUUCCUUGCAAGGAUAGAACACAGGUAUGGGUGUGGGUGUCACUGUAAUAAUAGCACAAAGCAAAGCUAUUGCGAAUUUGGACAGAAUCUAGCCUCUAAAUCUAGGAAUGCAGAUACAGAGAGCCAGUGUGGUGUAGUGGUUCAGAGCGGUAGUCUCGUAAUCUGGUGAACUGGGUUCGCUUCCCUGCUCCUCCACAUGCAGCUGCUCACACUUCUCUGAAGUCUGUCAGCCCCACUCACCUCACAGAGUGUUUGUUGUGGGGGAAGAAGGGAAAGGAGAAUGUGAGCUGCUUUGAGACUCCUUAGGGUAGCGAUUUUGACUAAACUGCAGGAGGCGGUGGAAGGCAGAAGUGCCUGGCGUGCUCUGGUCCAUGGGGUCACGAAGAGUCAGACAUGACUAAACGACUAAACAACAACAGGGUAGUGAUAAAGCGGGAUAUCAAAUCCAAACUCCUCCUCCCCUCCUCCUCCUCCUCCUCCUCCUCCUCCUCCUCCUUCUUCUUCUUCUUCUUCUUCUUCUUCUUCUUCGUCCUGCUUUCUUUUGUCUUGGUCAGCCCACACCUGGAGUCCUGUGUCGAGUUCUGGGUGCCACAAUUUAAGAAGGAUGUUGACAAGCUGGAAGGUGUGCAGAGGGCAACCAAAAGGAUCAAGGAUCUGGAAACCAUGCCUGAUGAAGAACGAUUGAAGGAGCUGGGUAUGUUAAGUUUGGAAAAGAGGAGGCUGAGAGGUGAUAUGAAAGCCAUCUCCCAAUAUCUGAAGGGCUGUCCCAUGGAAAAUGGAGCAAGCUUGUUUUCUCCUGCUCCAGAGGAGUGGAUCCAAACCAGUGCAUUCAAAUGACAAGAAAGGAGAUUGUGACUAAACAUUAGGAAGAACUUAGAGGAGGAGAAAACCUUGUCUCUACCCACUUGGUCUGUGCCAAGCAUAAUUUUAUAAAUUUCCUUCAUAUUGCCUCUUACCUUUUUUUCCUAAAUUUAAAAGUCCCAAAUGCUGCAAUCUUUCCUUACAGAGGAGUCACUGCCUCCCCUUUAUCAUUUCGGUUGUCAUUUCCUAACAAGUUUAAUUAAUAAUAAUAAUGUCAAUAUAUACAUUUAUUAUCCUUGCACUUAUUUAAGAAUGUAUACAUCCAUAGAAGAGAGAAUCUCUGUCAGAUUAGGAACAGUGGAGCUGAAAUGUAGACACGGGAUCUCAAAAGAGAAUUUGCACUACACCCUUUUUUUGCACCCCCCAUUGGAGAGAAGUCAACUCUGCACCACGUUGGUGCAAAACCUAGUGGGCCAUGAAGUUGGUUUGUCAACAUUCUGUUCUGGAGAUUUGCUGUGACGAUGAGUGACGAAAAUCUCCGUUCACGGCAGAUGCACCUUAAUUUCUCAGCUCGGAUAUCGACAGCUGUUAAUUGAAACAUGCAAGACAGGAUUGCUCAGUUGGAUUACACAACUUUCAUCAUGCAGUUGUUUUUACCGCAACUUUUCGCCAGGAAUCUGCGUGGACAUUUGGAAAAGCCUGUGGAAGGAGACGCACCAUUCCGUUUGCAAAGCUUUUGCCCCUGAGAGAUCUGAAGAAGCUACUUGUUCCCUUUUAUCGACAACUGUUGCCAGAAAAGAAAGCCACACAACAACAAAACAUUAAACACAAUGCACGAAGGUUCUGCAUCGUACAGCGCGAUCCGUAAUAAUUAAACCAACAAAAUCUGCAGGAUAAUUGUGGAGCCUCUAAAACAAACAUCCUUUCUGGGUCCAGGACCAACAGAGAAAAGCGUGAUUAAUAGUCAGAACAGUUUCUCUUCAAAAGACAGGCUGCUUAAUUGUUUGCUUAGCCAUUUGCCUCUUAAUGCUUGAUCUAGGGGACAUUUCCAUACAUUAUGGUGCCGGAUUUCCUGUCCAAUUCAUAUGGGCACAUCUGACUUUGAAAACACAGCCUGCUCCAUCAUUGUGAAAUUACAGCUGCUUACCAUCUGCCUGAAAUUGCAGGGGGAUCUGCUUCCCUGGGUUUUAGAACUUAAGACAGUAGUAGUUAAGUAAUGGAGACAGACUGUGCUGAAGUAAGCAACUUCCAGCCAGCAGCGCCUAUCAGUCAGUUAUCUCAGUUUCACUGGAUGCAUAAGAACCUAAGGAGAGUGUGCUGGGAUCAGGCCAGUGGCUCAUCAACAGAUGCUUGUGGGAAACCCGCAAGCAGGAUUCGAACACAAGAGCAGCUCUCCCCUCCCGUGACUCCCAGCAACUGCUGUUCUGAAUGUGGAGGCAGAGAAGAGUCAUCCUGGCUGGUAGCCAUCGAUAGCCCUCUCCUCCAUCAAUUUGUCCAAUCGUCUCUGAAAGCCAUCUAGGUUGCUGGCCGUCACUGCCUCCGGUGGCAAGGAGUUCCAUGGUUUAACUAUGCACUGCAUGAAGAAGUCAUUUCUCUGUCCUGAAUCUCUGCUGGAUGUUCAUGAGUUCCAGAGGAAGAAGAAUAUUUCUCUCUCCACAUUCUCCGUGCUGUGCAUAAUCGUAUAAACUUGUGUCAAGUCGCCUCUUCACUCGCCUUUCCUCCGAACUAAAAAGUCUCAAAUGCUGCAAUCUCCCUUCGAUCAUUUUGGUUGCCCUUUUCUGAAACUGUUCCAGCUUUGCAGCAUUGCAUCAGGAAAAGGCUGAACUCGCCGUUCCCUGGAAAGUUCCUGAGACAGUCUCUUUGCAGAAUGACAUUAUAAACCCUUACAAUUCGGGACUCUCUCAAUUUUAAUUGUUAUUCAAAAGCCACUUCUUCAAAUGCCAAUAUGUGAAAUUAUCCUGGGUGGGAAACAUCAAGUUGAGAAGCUGUUUCUUUCUCCUUACCUCUGCCCCAUUUGGUCCGUUUCUUCCUGGCCUCCUUUGCAAACGUGGAAGGUCGGCGGGUCCCAGCGAUGCCAUCCAGCCUGACCUCUGCUAAUUGAACAGCCUCCAGCCAUAUCUAUAUCCAGCACCGCUUAAAUCGUUCUUGGCUGAAACGUUUGUCUGCGAAGGUCAGCUGGCCUUGCUCUGAUGGCUGCGGGUAAUGGAGAAUCUGUCUGUUCUGAUGAAGAUUUAAGCGGCGGUGCUUACAAUAAGACCUGUCUCUUUUUUUUCUAAUUUAGAUUUCCCUGCCUUCAGCUCCUGGCUCUUGGCUGUUCUUUACUGCUGUCUUCUGCUGGGUGAAGGAUUGGACCAGCAUGUGCUAAACUUUUUCUUUGCGAAGGUUUGUACAUAUUGCUGUUGCCAGAGGCGCUGAGAACAUGGCUCCAGAGGGCACCAAGAAUUGGGAACCGACUGCCCCUAAUCUACCACCAUUUUCUCUUUGGGUGAAGCACCCAACAUGGUCAGGAACAGCUGGGUGACAGAAUGAAUUCUUGCUCUACACUGGAACAUCUCUCUCUACUGUGUCUCUUGGAAAGCUGUGUUAUGCGCAGUUAUUUCAGAAACGCACUUACCCAGGUUCUGUCUCCUUGGAAUGAAGGUCAGCAGAGACUGUGGUGUA
rnacentral:lncRNA from 1 species